GCUGGCAAGAGGCAUGGAGCAAGAUAUCGUUGCAGCUGAAAAAAGAAGAAUGAACACCCCAGCAAGAAUUAAUAAAAAAGAGAUGCCCAAAAGAGCGCGAAACCCACCGAAGAAGCUUAGUUUUUAUGAACCAGAUCCCGGCUCACCCAGAGAUGACCAACAUGGACUUUUUGUAUUUUUGACAUUUGAAGAUGGAUACACA